rnacentral:rRNA from 1 species
UACAGAGGGGGCAAGCGUUGUUCGGAAUUACUGGGCGUAAAGGGCGCGUAGGCGGCCUUCUAAGUCGAACGUGAAAUCCCCGGGCUUAACCUGGGAAUGGCAUUUGGGACUGCAAGGCUGGAGUGCGGCAGAGGAGACUGGAAUUCCUGGUGUAGCAGUGAAAUGCGUAGAUAUCAGGAGGAACACCGAUGGCGAAGGCAGGUCUCUGGGCUGACACUGACGCUCAUGCACGAAAGCGUGGGGAGCAAACAGG